rnacentral:rRNA from 1 species
GACGAACGCUGGCGGCGUGCUUAACACAUGCAAGUCGAACGGAAAGGCCCUGCUUUUGUGGGGUGCUCGAGUGGCGAACGGGUGAGUAACACGUGAGUAACCUGCCCUUGACUUUGGGAUAACUUCAGGAAACUGGGGCUAAUACCGGAUAGGAGCUCCUGCUGCAUGGUGGGGGUUGGAAAGUUUCGGCGGUUGGGGAUGGCUUCGCGGCUUAUCAGCUUGUUGGUGGGGUAGUGGCUUACCAAGGCUUUGACGGGUAGCCGGCCUGGGAGGGUGACCGGCCACAUUGGGACUGAGAUACGGCCCAGACUCCUACGGGAGGCAGCAGUGGGGAAUAUUGCAGAAUGGGCGGAAGCCUGAUGCAGCAACGCCGCGUGCGGGAUGACGGCCUUCGGGUUGUAAACCGCUUUCGCCUGUGACGAAGCGUGAGUGACGGUAAUGGGUAAAGAAGCACCGGCUAACUACGUG